GGGGCUGUGGCUGAGUGGUAGAGCAUCUGCUUGGCAUGUGGAAGGUCCUAAGUUCGAUUCCCAGCAUUUCUU
rnacentral:tRNA from 1 species